GUUUGAGCUGAGAGUUAUCAGCUGUUUCAGGAAGUCCCUGUUUGGCCUGAUAUAUCUCCUGUCUAUAAUGUGGUCAAUGGCAUCCUCCAACAAUAUUUCAUGGUGGAUCAUCAGCUCUUACUUUCAGUGUUUCUCAAGGUCUUGUGGAUGAAUUCUGAAGCUGGCAAUAAGUCCUUGCUGAUGUCAAACCUGUGUUCUUCUCUUACAAGCACGCUGUAGUAAGUGAUGUCCAUUUCUUUGUAAUAUUCUGCUCUUGUGUGAAUGGUACCUUGCAGGUAUUCCUUAUAUGCCACGGUGUUCAGGAUGUGUGUGAUACCCAUCUCCUUCAGUUUGGCUCGGUCCAUUGCCAUCUCUCUGCGCAAAAACACAACAGCUUAGAUUAGUCCUUCAUUUAAGUGGAUUUACGAAGUGGAAGAAAUAUAACUGCAUGCAGUGUUUAAUUCCUGUUCAUACGGUAUCAGACUUACUCAUUUCCAAUGAAGACAUUGGGCCAGACUUCAGUGACAGGUGUCCAGAGCACUUUACAUUUGCACAUCUGAUGCUCCAGUUGGAAAAUGUGCACAAGGAAAUGUUUGUGACUCGAGCUUCCUGUUGCCACUUGAGCUUCCUGAGUUUUUGGAGCUGAGGCACAGAACCGUUCUGCAUCGACCAGAUCCACUUCAGGUUCUGGUUCAGGAUCUGGGACACGCGGUGGUUCUGGAUCAGGCUCUGCUGAGAUCUCGACGGGCUCUACUCCGUUCUUCUUGAAGGGUUUUUUCACAGCGUUCCAUCCUCUUUGGAAGAACGCAAGAAGAGCGGGAAAUCGCUGGCCAUUGAAUAAUCAAGUUCGAGAAGAUGGAUAAUUAUUCGUUUGAAUAUUCAUACGGUAAGUCAAUGUUUAUAAUCUCUUGUACAGGGAUUGGCCUAAAUUAGUGCUUUGAUUUUGGGAUCUUUUGCUAAUGUGAAAUCCCGAGGGGGAAAAAUCUGUUUUCACUUAUUCAUCCAGUAAUAACGUGAUACGAACACAUUUACCAUGCCAUUUUUGUAAAACCAUUUAACCAAACUACCUAGAUCUUUUCAUGCCAUAAUAUUUAUAAAUUCAUCUAGGCGUUCGAUUCUGCUUAAAACAUUGGUUUACGCUUAAUUAAUAAAUAAAUAAAUAACGCAAAGCGAUUCACAAAAAAAUCUCUUUCAAUGGCAAUUAUAAAAGGUAAUGUUACGCAGACACCGACAUGCUUUUGAUUUUUUUUUGUUUUUUUGUUUCAGAAUAAAUAAUCUGAUGAAGCAAGAUCCAGUCUUAACGAAUUGGGGAUCAGGGAUGCUGGUGGCAUCGGACUUCUAAAAUAUGUUAUAAUCUGCAACAUACAGAAUAAUCAAAAAUGUUCACUUGAGUGAUAUUGUGGUUUUGAAGUCCUGCUGUAACUAACUCUCUGCUGUAGCUCUAUCUCCAUUUCACCAGGGAGACUAUUCCAUUAAUCAGGAAAUUGUUUGUUAUAAAUGUAAAUAUAUUUGACGUUUGUAUAUAAUAUAGUUCUUUUAACAGUUGUGCAGAUCUAUGUAUGAACCACUAAAUAACACCACUAGGGAGCCCACAGUUCCUCUUUUAAUUAAUGAAUUAUUAUUAUGUUUUUUUUUUUUUUUCAUAUUUUCAGGUCAAACUCUAAGCAGCCAGCGGUGGAUGUUGAGCACAGAAGGUCAGGUCGUGUGUGAAGGAGCACAGCCCAACUUUGUCUCUGGUCUUGCAGGACUGUUUGCCUCAUUCUACAAUUUCAACCUCCAGUAUCAAGAAGAGGCAGCUUGCAGCCUUGAGUUUGUUCAGAGGUUAGACUUUAUCAUAUUUUACAUUCAUAUACACUAUAUUGCCCAAAGGAUAGGGUCACCCCCUUGGAUGAACAGAUCUGACUACUUUAGUAAGUUCCAUGAGUGGAAACCUUAAUAUUUAUGAAAUAUGAACUUAUAGAGAAGUGAUUGAACGGUACAAUCAUACUCUUAAAAAUAAAAUGUGGCGAUUUUUAACAGCAGUUAAUUCAAAGCGAUAUUGAGACAUCUUACAAGAUCUUCUAGACGGGUAACGCAAGCGAUCACAAGAGCAUUAAAAUGAGACCGUUGGAUGUUCAUAAAGAAAACGAGUCAGAAGGUCAGUUUCAUAAAUUACGUAUGAUUAAAGGUACGUGCGUCUUUAAGUACAAAAUUGUAUCUAAAGUUAGAAAUGUGUUUUCUAAUGGUUACGAGCAAAAUUACACAGAAGAGUUUUUCACUAAAGCCAAUCGUAUACCCCACACUCCGCCUGUGUACAGUUUACGGGACUCUGACGGAGACCUUAUUGCAGGGGGUUUUUAUGAAAAAGAAUUACAAAAAUAUAUUGUGAAUCAGGAUAAAACUUUAGAAAAGAUUUUAGACCGAAAAAAUACCCUUAAAUUCGCUCCAUGGCUUCCCGAAAGCGAAAAGGGGACAUACAGAGCCCCCGUUAAAGUAAGAUCGUGGAGAACAUAAUUAUCUUUUGCAAGAUCCUAACGCGAGACUACUACCGAAACCAGGCCGGUAAUGGGUUACCGGGGAACACGGGAAACAAAUAUGUAUGGCGCGGGGAUAGGAGGAAUUCUCAGAAGAGGUUUUAAUAUAGCAAACAGCCACAAGAAAUAGUGACCACAGCGCUAUCGAGAUCGUACACUGAUGAUAAUAAUAAUAAUAAUAAUAAUAAUAAUGUCUCAGGACAGAACAGUAAUGGCCUAUUGGCUAUGUCACAAGGUUCUUUUAAACCGCCAGGGUACGACUUCGUAGGACGCGAGAAAAAGACUAAACGUGCCUGAAUGAAACGUACAGUUGCAAAACGCAGCUGACGUGUCCGUACGAAACUUGUAAAGAAAAUGACCCGAAGACCUCUGAGCACUAUCUUCCAAACCAUGUCGCUAUUUCACAACAUGUCUGAGGAGACAAUAAAAUCAGAGCUAGACUUGUUUACAAUUUGAAAAAAUACAAAAAAUACGUACAUCGUAAUACCGCCUCUAUCAGCGAUAAUGGACUCUUCGCCGAUAUAAUUUUUUAGAAGAUUACGCCGAUCUAAAUAAUACUGUGGGAUUUAUGUUUUAAAGGAUUUAUGUUUUACAGGUUUUACUCAAUAGAAGCACUGUGCCCAGGCCUCAUAAAGAGUUUUUCUACUUGAUAUUAUGUGUAUGUGCUGUGCCAAAUGUCUUAUCUGCAGAAACAGGAUGUGGAGAUUGCUGAGCCCAUCUACUGGUCAAGAAGAAACAAACUGCACCUGGUUCUGUGAAGGACACCCUGAGUGGGAGGAAGACGCAAGCACAAGAAUAUAAAUACUGUGUGAAAUGUAGUGUGAGCAUACAGGA